rnacentral:antisense_RNA from 19 species
GGGUGCUUGGAUCAAUCUGGUUCAAGCAUUUGCUAAAUGCCAGAAAGAGAAAAGCCCCGGAAAAUAUAUUUAUAUUAACCGAGGCGGACUCAAACCUGAGAACUUGAUUCUGCCUCCUUAUAGAGGAGCUGUCAAGAAAAUGAACAAAUA